UCUAUGGGCUGCCAUUGACUUUUGGGUGGAAGAACGAGGAAGAUAAAUAAUAAUAAUAAUAAGAAAACUAACAGAAACAAUAGGUGUCUACGCCACUUCGUGGCUUGACCCCUUAUAUGGAAAAGAGAUGAGUGUUGAAGAUUUCAUACGGUAUAUUGUAAUAGCAACUUAUUUAGCAACUAACAUCCUAUAAUGCUCUGUGGCAUGUUUUAAUAAGGUAAUAUAUUUUGGAAAAGAGAGGUUUCAUCCCCUGAGUUUCAGAGACUUGGAGAAUCUAUGCCAAGGCUCAUUUAGGUGUUUCAAUACUUAUGCUGUGUUUCCUUUUAGUUGUUGCAUGUCUUUCACGUCCUGUACCUUUAUUAGUCUUACAAGAAAUAUUCACUUCAACACACAGAGAGCAGCUGUGGAGACGAAACGUUUAUGCCCUAGAAGAGACCCUUCACAGACCUCUAAAAGGAUCUUUGUUGGCUGGGGCAAGCCGAGGGGGAGGCAAGGAGGGUGACGCCAAGCCUCAGCUACAGGUCACUUUUACAGGUUGAGUGCUUCCUGUCAUCCAGUGUGGAGAUUCCACCUAACUGUACCCUCAGCAAAACUAAAUCCUCAUGAGGAAUUUGGUGCAGAGAGUGGUUCUGUCGGGACCGUGAUGUAUUACGUCACAAAAAACAGCCACUCCACAAUAGGGAAUGUGUAAUUAAUAGGUUUUUUGAAGCCAUCUGUCCAACCAAAUGCAUCAUUAAAGGGGAAGAUGGAU